rnacentral:rRNA from 1 species
UACAGAGACUGCAAGCGUUAUUCGGAUUCACUGGGCGUAAGGGGUGCGCAGGCGGCCAAGUGUGUCAGGUGUGAAAUCCCGAGGCUUAACCUCGGAACUGCGCCUGAAACUACUUGGCUAGAGUACUGGAGAGGGUAACGGAAUUCACGGUGUAGCAGUGAAAUGCGUAGAUAUCGUGAGGAACACCAGAGGCGAAGGCGGUUACCUGGACAGUUACUGACGCUCAGGCACGAAAGCGUGGGGAGCAAAAGGG